GGGGCGCAGGGGAGUUUCGGAACUAUGGCGAAGUCCGGGAAGGAGCUGGAUGGUCAGAGCGUGGCUGCAUUCACGGCGCUGAAGCGGGCGGUGGAACUAGACUCGGAGUCCCGGUACCAGCAGGCUCUGGUGUGUUACCAGGAGGGGAUAGACCUGCUCAUGCAGGUUCUGAGAGGUACCAAAGAUGAUACAAAGAAAUGGAAUCUCAGAAAACAAAUUACGGGCUACAUGGAUAGAGCAGAAAUAGUGAAGAAAUACUUGGAUCAAGAAAAAGAAGAUGGAAAAUAUCACAAGCAGAUUAAAAUAGAAGAGAAUGCAACAGGUUUCAGUUAUGAGUCACUUUUUCAAAAACACCUUAAUGAAACACUUACAGAAGUUUGGAUGCAAGAUCCUUAUAUUAGACAGAUUCAUCAGCUAUAUAACUUUCUUCGAUUUUGUGAGAUGCUUAUUAAGAAACCAUGUGAAGUAAAAACUAUUCAUCUUCUCACCUCUCUGGAUGUAGGUAGUGGGAAACAGCAGCAAAGUAGUGGCCUGCAAGAAAUAAAAGAGUCACUCCAGAAUCACGGUGUGCUAUUGGAAUUAGAAUAUUCUUCUUCAGUACAUGACCGAGAAAUUAGGUUUAACAAUGGAUGGAUGAUUAAGAUUGGAAGAGGACUUGAUUAUUUUAAGAAACCACAGAGUCGUUUUUCCCUUGGAUAUUAUGAUUUUGAUUUAAGAGCAUGUCAUGAAACAACAGUGGACAUUUUUCAUAAUAAGCACACACAAAAAAUAUGA